AUGCCCCUACUAUAGAGUUAUGCCAGUGGAUGAUGAUCAUGAUUUUAUUAUUAUUCACACAAAAACAUUUCAGAUGACAGAUGAAAAUAGGGUGGGACAGCUUUUUGUUUGUGAUUGAAUAAAACCAAACGUACAACAAGCUCUACGCAAUUGACAGAACAGCCCGUAGACUGGCCAUGAACGCCGAUCUCUGCUGACGCGACCAAUCAGAGGCGGUUGCCAGCAGACAACCAAUCAGCGUUUUGUCUGCCAACGUUGACUGGCGUGUGACAUCAUUGAUCAUGACUUGCAAUGUGGAGAGAGAAACGACGGAGAAAUCAUGUCGAAAAGUUAGUGGAAAUAUGGAGUUAAAGCAGCGUUUGAGUCGUCGUUUUGUCGGGUCCGUUUGCUAGCACUGUGAGGAAAUUGAUUAUUGAAGUCUGGAUGCUGAAAACAAGCCCCGGAGCUGUUUUUGUCGAACAAGAGUGAGGCUGAACGCCGAGCACACCUGCAGCGCCAAGGUCUACUUCUUGGGUUUCAACAGCCCAGACAGAAAUACCAGCUCUCACCUUACACACCGAAGAGGACUUAAACUUCAACUAGGAAACACUUCAGCUCAUGAAGGAGAGAGACAUGAAGAUUUACAGGUGCAUUCACAGACACAACUGGAUUCACUGAAGGAGAAGAGGAGGACAUCAGCAGCACAAAUGAAGGUCUGGACCUGAAGUGGAGGAAAGAGGAGAACAGAGUUGUGAAGCUGUUAAUGGAACAGAUAAACCUCCAGCAUCCCCUGUCUCCUGUUGUUCAAAUCAAGACACUUUGUUUUAGCUCCCCACCUGCUAAAUAACAACACUAUAAUGUAGUUAUGAGCACCUUUUCUGAGAGUAUUGUGUCUCUAUUAAGCAUCUUUAAGAACUGUUAACUGUUGAUGAUAAAAUUACUUCAUAUCAAACAGUUAAAUGCUCUUAAACAUGCUUAAUAGAGACAAUACUCUCAGAAAAGGUGCUCAUAACUACAUUGUAGUGUCAGGUGGGAGGAUAACAAAGUGUAUCCUAGUGGUCAAAUAUCUGUCAUUACCUCAACUGCUUUGUUAAAUGUCUGGAAUAAAAUCAUUCUAAGUUUCUUA